ACUGGAGGAGCCGGAAAUGGGCAGGGCAUUCCCUGUAAAUGCAGCUUUGUCAAGAGAUGCAGGGGUAGGAGGGGAUCGUAGGACUUUAUCCAGGAGGGUUAGUGGGACCUGAUGAUUCACGGGAUGUGGGUCUGGAAGGAGUUCUGAGCAGCUGCUGCUUCCAGGUGGGGAGACAGUGUGGGAGGUGACAGCAGACUGAAAUGAAGAGACAGGAGGAGGGCCAGGUUCUGUCAGUUCUGCCAUCAGUCCUGGGAGAUACUGGUAACUGUGUCCAUAUUACAGAGGAGGAAGCUGAUCUCUGGCAUGUGUGAGUAGCUUUUCCAGGGUCACACAGCUGCAGGCAGACUGGCACAGGGCCUGGCCAACUGUCUGUGGAGUUGACCCAAACCAGUGCUAUGCUGGUAAGUCCAACUUAAGAAAAAGAAAAGCCUGCUUUGAAGCGUGUGCCAUUUCCUGUGGUGUAAAUACUCCCACCUCAGCCAAUUUCAGCGACCAGUAUGAUGUCACUGAACGUGGAGAACACCCACUGACUCAAACUCAGAUCAGCCCCCUUCUCAGGCCCCUUCUCCUUCCACGGUGCCAAGCACACAGCUCACAAUUAACCCAGUGGAUCUUUGAACAACGUGGAGGUUUAGAGUGCCAGGCCCUUGUGCAGUCAAACACCCAGGUGAGAGAAGGAGUUGUUCGGGACUCGGUUGUACUUUGCCUUCAUUCCUUCCCAGGAAGCUACUAAAGGAUGUGCUCCUCUAAAGCGAGGAAAGAAGCUUGAAAAGGAGAUGACAGGAUCCCGGAACCAAGAUGAACAGCCCAGAAUGACCGUGCAAGGAAGAGCCACACAGACAGCUGUGCAGCAACUGAUGCCUAUUGAAGCGGCAUGCUGGGGCUGAGAUGAAACGGAAUCAUUUUGCUCUGAGGCACAUCAAUGAGAAAUGGUGGUCAUUAAGCACAACGCCUACAUCUCUAACCAUGGCUACUUCCCUGCUCACCACGGGAACCCCAUUAAGUAGCAAAGAUGCAGAGUACUCUUCUAAGUGAUGUGCCAAAGAAGUACUGCAGAAGAAAACACGGGUCAAUACAGACAGGUUAAAAAUCACAACCGUAUUCCUUGCUUAAAAAAAACUCAGUAAAGAAACCUUCCUAAGAUGCACAUAGUGGCACUGAUGACUUCAUUUAAUUUCCACUGUCCACCAAACAACCCUUAAUCUUUGUUACAAAAAGUGCGUCUAUAUCCUUUAACUCCAGCAAAGCCAUUUCCCUUCCUGUGAGAUGCUUCAGGGCUCUGCGUCAUUCUCCAGCAAAUCUGAGAGGGGCUAAUACCAGGGUCACGCUAUUCCCAGGAACUUGUAGCCCUGCUGGGAAUAACCAUCAACCACCCAUAUCUAAUCUACGGUUAGGUUAACAAAUACCUUCCACGGACUUCGUUAGCAAAUGUCCUGGCAGGGAAAGCCAACGUUCUCAUUGGGUCCUGGUUCUUCCUGUUAACUGUUUACAUGACUGUCCUCCAUCACAUGCACAGUUCAGCCUCGGCUACAGACCAUCACCACUGCAAAGCAGCAACUUCCCAUUCAGACUCAGGCACUGUUUCAAUUCAUUACAGAGAACUCCUUUUCUUACCCUUUUGUCCUGAAAAGUGGUUCAAAGAAAAUAAGCAUUGUCUAAAUGUCGGGAGACCUUAACUGCUGGUAGCCAGAGCCACCAGUUUUUAACUAUUCAAAUUACAUUCUCAUAUGCCUGUAGGUAGGCUUUACAGGUAAUUCACUGUCCCAAGCAGUAUCUUUUGAGAUGGAAGAGUGGGUCUGUUAAUAAAUUAGACCAAGACCACCAGUAUAAACUGGGCCUGUCCCAGACUCUCAGGACAUAUGGUUACCCUGCUGUCCCUAUUAGGUCUUUCCUAAUUAGUUUUGAGUAGGCUUUGCCAAUUUUCAUCUAAUUAAGUUCAGGGAUUAGGUUCUUUGUAUUUUAAAGACUCCAUUCAAAAAACUAAAACUGUCAUGGAAAUUAAGCUGGGACUGCAGUGGUUAAAAAAAAAGAAUUAUAUGAAUGAGUCCUGAAUGUUUACUAAUUCGGAAACCUAAACACCUUUUAGAGAAGCCUGACCCAUCUCAAAAUCAUUGAGAAUUGAGCUUAGCAAAGUAAAAUGAAAGCUGUUGAUAGUAAUUUAAGGCUUCUGCAUAAGUGAAGGGAUGGAGCUGAAACAAUAGCCGUUGCAAGUGAACAUUUUACUCUAAUCAGCAGAGGCUGUGGCAGGAGACCCUUAUCUGCAGUCAGGAAACUAAACUCCCAGUCUUCCCUUCACAAACAUCUCAUCUGGGGUAAUCAGUUGAGUACACCAGGUAUCACCUUAAAACAAUAAAGUGGCAAACGUGGCAGCAUUCUGCAGAAUGAAUACAAGCAGAGCUAUCUUUAAAUGAACAAAGUCCUGUGCAUACGGAGCACUCAGUAUUUACUGAACACUCAUGUGAAGGGCGCCGUACCAGACGGUGAAAGCCCAAACGCCACGUACAAAGAAGAAACAAGCGUGAACUUAAGAUAGAGCGGGCGAGUGUGGCGUUAGUCCCAGCUCAGGCCUGCCACGAAGCGGCUACCAGGGCCUCUCUCCAAAGGCAUUUCUAAAACCUUGCUCACCCAGGUACCAGGUCUGGCCCUCUGACCUCCACGCCUGUGUCCCUCUUAGCGCCCUCUCGACUCCAGUCAACAUGGACCACACACCAGUGUCACACAGGACCCAACAUAUCUCUACGUGAGAACAUGAUGUAAGCUCUAGUCCAGGGGACUGCCAAAAAACAAAAAUAAAAAUCAAAACAAACUUAGAGGGGCGAGGUGGAUUUAAGCCAGAAGGGAUGGAGGUGGCAGGACCAGGACAUGCCACCCAGACCCAGCGCAGCCAGAGUUAAAGGGAGGCUAGAAAUCCAGCUGUUCUAUGUCAAGUCUAACUGAAGUGCUGGCGACUUCAGUUAAAUACGGGCCACAAUACACCUGUGAGUCAAAUAUGACCUACAGAUUCACGUCCUGAUG